rnacentral:snRNA from 1 species
AGAUGUGAGGUUAAUCCUGCUGAGACAUUAGACACCAUUGAUCAGCAAGGUUGAUUGGUAUAAUCUGGGAAGCUGAGCAGGUGUCUGUGCCUUCCAUCACCACUCUGCUGCAUGCAUCCUUCCUGAAGCUGCACUCUGGGAGGAAGAGAACUACUCUCUUAUCAAGGGUACAGGAGUAAGCCGUACUCCCUAUUGGAACCUCAAAACAAGCUCUCAAACUCAGAAAAAGCUUAAUCUUGAAAUUUUGAAUACUGCCUGUGAUUGUCAGCUUAU